ACAUACAUAAAGAUAAAUAUAAAUGUGUGUGAUAAAUCCGCAUUAUGAUUAGUUGAUAUUUGGCGUGUUAAAAAUGUUUUUGUGCAAAUACACAGAUUGAUUGUAAUCUGGUCAGAUUUGCCAGCGCUUUAAUAUAUGCAAAUAUGUGGACCAAUAACUAUUUGUAUUGUGUUGUAUUGUGUGUGUUUAUUUUGAAGAGCAGGAGGCUUCCCGGAAGUGCUCCACGGUGUCUCUAUGGAAACGCCCAUUUGUAGUCCACACCCUCCCCGGCAGCUGGAGCGGUUCCUCCCUCUCCAGCAGCUUAAUUUCCAGCCUGGAUACACCGGUUCACCGCCGCAGUGCCACUGCAACAGAUGCCUGAAAGGAAGCUCAGCAGCUGAGGACCCCCCCCUUCCCCCUGCCUGUGCUCAUCACCUGCAGACAUGAACGGUAACAGCGGCUCAUCCUAAAUCUGCUGGUGUGCACGAAUGGUGUAGAAGGACACCGGUUUGCAGCGGUGGUCCCCGUGGGGGCCUCCGUCCCCCGUCUGAUAUCGACCCGAUUACACACAGAGAGGAGCCCGACUCCCCAGGAGUGAUGGAAAUACGGGAAAUCUGCGAAGAGGUUCCCUGCCGACAGAUUCUGUGGUGGUUUGGGUGGCGACAACAGGCUGAUCAGAAGCUCUGGGUGUGUUCAUAAAGUGCUCAGGCAUUGUUGGUGCAUGACGCUUUAGCUUACAAACACACUCCUGCAGACAGAUCUUUUGUAUUUAGGUGCUGAGCUGCUGUGUUGGACCAGUCUGAACUGGUUUUCUGUAGACUAAGGCGGAGGCUAAAGCGAAGAGCUUGUCAUCAUCCUCUAACUCUGUGAAUGCUACCUAAUGGCCUGUUGAUGUGUCCCCACUAGCCACAUAUCCCAGUGGUACUGUGCUACAUAUUAUAACAUUCCCUCCCCCCUUUUGCCCCAAAAUAACUUCCUAAGCAGGUCCCCGCUCAGAGCCAGUGACACAUCGCUAAGACCACUCGCAUCUCUGAGCGAGAUUAAUUAUCGUCUCCUUUUUUCAUGGCUGUAAUCUGCUGACGACCCCAGAAUCUAGGCCUGGUUCUGCAGGACG
rnacentral:lncRNA from 1 species